AUGCUGAUCUGGCUGGGAGGAGCUGGUGAUCUCAAAGGUGGUUUUCACAGGGCAAAGCUCAUUUGUUGUACUUCGGAUAUGUUGUCUCUUGAAAUUCCUCAAACUGGGCAAGUUUGACUGUAAUUUGUGGUUGUAGGGGAUUGCCCUUU
rnacentral:snRNA from 1 species